rnacentral:rRNA from 1 species
GGGUUGUGAGGUUAAGCGACUAAGCGUACACGGUGGAUGCCCUGGCAGUCAGAGGCGAUGAAGGACGUGCUAAUCUGCGAUAAGCGUCGGUAAGGUGAUAUGAACCGUUAUAACCGGCGAUUUCCGAAUGGGGAAACCCAGUGUGAUUCGUCACACUAUCAUUAACUGAAUCCAUAGGUUAAUGAGGCGAACCGGGGGAACUGAAACAUCUAAGUACCCCGAGGAAAAGAAAUCAACCGAGAUUCCCCCAGUAGCGGCGAGCGAACGGGGAGCAGCCCAGAGCCUGAAGUGACUGCGUACCUUUUGUAUAAUGGGUCAGCGACUUAUAUUCUGUAGCAAGGUUAACCGAAUAGGGGAGCCGAAGGGAAACCGAGUCUUAACUGGGCGUUAAGUUGCAGGGUAUAGACCCGAAACCCGGUGAUCUAGCCAUGGGCAGGUUGAAGGUUGGGUAACACUAACUGGAGGACCGAACCGACUAAUGUUGAAAAAUUAGCGGAUGACUUGUGGCUGGGGGUGAAAGGCCAAUCAAACCGGGAGAUAGCUGGUUCUCCCCGAAAGCUAUUUAGGUAGCGCCUCGUGAAUUCAUCUCCGGGGGUAGAGCACUGUUUCGGCAAGGGGGUCAUCCCGACUUACCAACCCGAUGCAAACUGCGAAUACCGGAGAAUGUUAUCACGGGAGACACACGGCGGGUGCUAACAUGCUGGAGGUAUCAGAAGUGCGAAUGCUGACAUAAGUAACGAUAAAGCGGGUGAAAAGCCCGCUCGCCGGAAGACCAAGGGUUCCUGUCCAACGUUAAUCGGGGCAGGGUGAGUCGACCCCUAAGGCGAGGCCGAAAGGCGUAGUCGAUGGGAAACAGGUUAAUAUUCCUGUACUUGGUGUUACUGCGAAGGGGGGACGGAGAAGGCUAUGUUGGCCGGGCGACGGUUGUCCCGGUUUAAGCGUGUAGGCUGGUUUUCCAGGCAAAUCCGGAAAAUCAAGGCUGAGGCGUGAUGACGAGGCACUACGGUGCUGAAGCAACAAAUGCCCUGCUUCCAGGAAAAGCCUCUAAGCAUCAGGUAACAUCAAAUCGUACCCCAAACCGACACAGGUGGUCAGGUAGAGAAUACCAAGGCGCUUGAGAGAACUCGGGUGAAGGAACUAGGCAAAAUGGUGCCGUAACUUCGGGAGAAGGCACGCUGAUAUGUAGGUGAAGUCCCUCGCGGAUGGAGCUGAAAUCAGUCGAAGAUACCAGCUGGCUGCAACUGUUUAUUAAAAACACAGCACUGUGCAAACACGAAAGUGGACGUAUACGGUGUGACGCCUGCCCGGUGCCGGAAGGUUAAUUGAUGGGGUUAGCGCAAGCGAAGCUCUUGAUCGAAGCCCCGGUAAACGGCGGCCGUAACUAUAACGGUCCUAAGGUAGCGAAAUUCCUUGUCGGGUAAGUUCCGACCUGCACGAAUGGCGUAAUGAUGGCCAGGCUGUCUCCACCCGAGACUCAGUGAAAUUGAACUCGCUGUGAAGAUGCAGUGUACCCGCGGCAAGACGGAAAGACCCCGUGAACCUUUACUAUAGCUUGACACUGAACAUUGAGCCUUGAUGUGUAGGAUAGGUGGGAGGCUUUGAAGUGUGGACGCCAGUCUGCAUGGAGCCGACCUUGAAAUACCACCCUUUAAUGUUUGAUGUUCUAACGUGGACCCGUAAUCCGGGUUGCGGACAGUGUCUGGUGGGUAGUUUGACUGGGGCGGUCUCCUCCUAAAGAGUAACGGAGGAGCACGAAGGUUGGCUAAUCCUGGUCGGACAUCAGGAGGUUAGUGCAAUGGCAUAAGCCAGCUUGACUGCGAGCGUGACGGCGCGAGCAGGUGCGAAAGCAGGUCAUAGUGAUCCGGUGGUUCUGAAUGGAAGGGCCAUCGCUCAACGGAUAAAAGGUACUCCGGGGAUAACAGGCUGAUACCGCCCAAGAGUUCAUAUCGACGGCGGUGUUUGGCACCUCGAUGUCGGCUCAUCACAUCCUGGGGCUGAAGUAGGUCCCAAGGGUAUGGCUGUUCGCCAUUUAAAGUGGUACGCGAGCUGGGUUUAGAACGUCGUGAGACAGUUCGGUCCCUAUCUGCCGUGGGCGCUGGAGAACUGAGGGGGGCUGCUCCUAGUACGAGAGGACCGGAGUGGACGCAUCACUGGUGUUCGGGUUGUCAUGCCAAUGGCACUGCCCGGUAGCUAAAUGCGGAAGAGAUAAGUGCUGAAAGCAUCUAAGCACGAAACUUGCCCCGAGAUGAGUUCUCCCUGAC